GACAGAGGGGGCAAGCGUUGCUCGGAAUUACUGGGCGUAAAGGGCGCGUAGGCGGGAUGGCAAGUCGGUCGUGAAAUCCCUCGGCUCAACCGAGGAACGUCGAUCGAUACUGGCUGUUCUUUGAGGAUUGCAAGAGGAGACUGGAAUUCCCGGUGUAGCGGUGAAAUGGUGUAGAGAUCGGGAGGAACACCGGGUGGCGAAG
rnacentral:rRNA from 1 species